rnacentral:rRNA from 1 species
AUACGGAGGAUCCGAGCGUUAUCCGGAUUUAUUGGGUUUAAAGGGAGCGUAGGUGGAUAGUUAAGUCAGUUGUGAAAGUUUGCGGCUCCACCGUAAAAUUGCAGUUGAUACUGGCUGUCUUGAGUACAGUAGAGGUGGGCGGAAUUCGUGGUGUAGCGGUGAAAUGCUUAGAUAUCACGAAGAACUCCGAUUGCGAAGGCAGCUCACUGGACUGCAACUGACACUGAUGCUCGAAAGUGUGGGUAUCAAACAGGAUUAGAUACCCUGGUAGUCCACACAGUAAACGAUGAAUACUCGCUGUUUGCGAUAUACAGUAAGCGGCCAAGCGAAAGCAUUAAGUAUUCCGCCUGGGGAGUACGCCGGCAACGGUGAAACUCAAAUGAAUUGGCGGGG